UGAAACAUUUCCAUUAGGUGCUAACGUGA
rnacentral:piRNA from 1 species